GACGAACGCUGGCGGCGUGCUUAACACAUGCAAGUCGAGCGGUAAGGCUCCUUCGGGGGUACACGAGCGGCGAACGGGUGAGUAACACGUGAGUAAUCUGCCCUUCACUUCGGGAUAACCAUCGGAAACGGUGGCUAAUACCGGAUACGACACUCUCCUGCAUGGGAUGGGUGUGGAAAGUUUUUUCGGUGGGGGAUGUGCUCGCGGCCUAUCAGCUUGUUGGUGAGGUAAUGGCUCACCAAGGCUUCGACGGGUAGCCGGCCUGAGAGGGUGACCGGCCACACUGGGACUGAGACACGGCCCAGACUCCUACGGGAGGCAGCAGUGGGGAAUAUUGGACAAUGGGCGAAAGCCUGAUCCAGCAACGCCGCGUGAGGGAUGACGGCCUUCGGGUUGUAAACCUCUUUCAGCAGGGACGAAGCGAAAGUGACGGUACCUGCAGAAGAAGCACCGGCCAACUACGUGCCAGCAGCCGCCGUAACAC
rnacentral:rRNA from 1 species